UGUGUGUGUGUGUGUGUGUGUGUGGAUGGUUAAGGGGGGGAUUGGCACUGGGUGAACUCCCCUCACCCACCAGCAUACACAGACACACACACACACACACACAGAGUGACCCCACGUGCCCUGGAGGGACUGCAAGUGCACAGCCAGUAACCAGACAAGACGGGAGUUCAUCUCCCCUGCCAGUGGACGGACGGAAGCCCUGGAGGGACACACUCGCACCAGCGACGCAAACUUGUCUUUUCGUCAGCACCAGAGUGCCAUCUUCCGUUAUUCCCGUCCUCUCCUCGGCUGUCCCUCCUCUGCCUCGGUUUCCCCAUCUCCCGAGUCCCCUACAAUCUUUACGAGGCUCAGGAGAGCUUUGACAUUCCUAAAUGAAAAGGCUCUCUUUGCGGCAC
ensembl:lncRNA